GUGUUUGAUUGAAGGAGAGUUGGUUGGCAUCUCCUCUUACAGGGUUGGGAACAGUCUACAGGCUUCCUUGUUUAACAUAUACGGAUAAGGGUUUUAUGUCAAAUACCAGUUUGU